UGGGGAAUCUUGCACAAUGGAGGAAACUCUGAUGCAGCGACGCCGCGUGAGCGAUGAAGCCCUUCGGGGUGUAAAGCUCUUUCGACGGGAACGAUAAUGACGGUACCCGGAGAAGAAGCUGCGGCUAACUACGUGCCAGCAGCCGCGGUAAUACGUAGGCAGCAAACGUUGUUCGGAAUUACUGGGCGUAAAGAGUGUGUAGGCGGUUUUGCAAGUUUGGUGUGAAAUCUCCCGGCUUAACUGGGAGGGUGUGCCGAAAACUGCAAGGCUCGAGUACUGGAGAGGAAAGCGGAAUUCCUGGUGUAGCGGUGAAAUGCGUAGAUAUCAGGAGGAACGCAGGUGGUGUAGACGGCUUUCUGGACAGUGACUGACGCUGAGACAUGAAAGCGUGGGGAG
rnacentral:rRNA from 1 species